rnacentral:tRNA from 1 species
GAAUAUGAAGUGAUUUAUUACAAUUAGUUUCGACCUAAUUUUAGGUAGUUAUACCCUUAUUCU